UGUAGGCUGUCAAAAACAGCCAGCAAGUACUAUAACUGAAGACACUUCUGUAUCUCUACCUGUCCUUCCUCAGAUCCGGACGGCUGGAUCCCAACCGUCAGAUUAUCUCAUGGAAGCACAAACGGUGACAGCGGAAUGUCUGCCGAACAAGACUAUGGCUGGAUGGUUUUCAAAGUGGAUUUUCUCAUCACGGAGGAAGUUGACUUCAUAGAUGCCCUAAAUACCGUCGUGGACAUGGUGGAAAGAUUGCUGUUAACAAAGCUUCCUGCUGAGAGUUUUAAAAUAGCUCCACUGGACAAUACGACAAACCAUUACUUCUGAGCACAUUGUUCCAACAAUCCAUCCCCGAUCGGCACCAUGUCAGCCCGACCUGCAGAGACAUUGUGUACAAAGUAAUGUGCUUUUAACAGAAACUGUAUAUCAGUUCACCAAUACGCCUCCUACAGGGAGAUUAUUCACUAAACUGUGAGUAGCUGCCACAUGAAACAUCCUACCUACUAUAUGCAUUAUAAAGGGCCGGUAAUAAGGCCGGGCAUGAUGCAUAGUUUAAAAAUGUAAUCUGAGCAUGAUCUGCUCCAUUUAUCUAGUUAUGCCAAGUA